AAUUUUACUUAGUUUAUAUUGAAUAUAGUAAAAAUUGCUCGUUUUUAUUUUCCAGAGGAGCCAUAUCCUUUGGCUCCACGCCGAGAAGCAACAGGUGCUGUGGUGGUAAUAAUUUCAUCAUACGUAGACUUCUUCAACGGUAAAUUAUGGAGUUUUAUAAUCAAGAACUGAGCAACACGAUCCCCAAGUUCAACUUGAUAUGGAAGUUUCCCAUGGUUGAUUAGCAUAACCCCCAAAGUUCCUUCAAAAUCUUCAUCGACCACGCCCCCCAUGACGUCAAUUUUAUGCCGCAACGCUAACCCAGACCUUGGUUUAAUCAAACCAACAUGGCCCAACGUACAAAUCAUAACCAGCAGAUUGAGGGUGCAACUUUGUUGGAAAUUUACUUUCAAAGGUCUUCCUAAUAAAGUGGACCGUUCUAUAGUCAUCUAGAAGGAAAUCAGCUACUACAUUCAAUCCAUAUAAUGACGAGAUACCAUCAAAACGGGAUACCAAAAAUUGUCAGUGUUAUAGGCAAGAAGUGAAAAAACUGUGUAUGUCCCAUUAUAUAAUCGUUAUUUGAAAUAAUUAUAAGAUCUUCCGAAUUUUUAUAGACGCCCUGAUUAGAAUCUACUUCCUCUGACCAACCAACUUGUUCAGCUUAAGAGAGGGUAUUGCACGCUGCAACCAACGAUUGAAAAUAUUUAAACGACAGGUUUGCCCCUGUGGUUUGAUUCUUUCUGAUGCAGACAUAAGCCUGCCCAUUUUUUCUCCAAGUUUGGAGUUUUAGCCAAAACCCCUGACCUAGCUGGCCCUCCCAAUGGACAAUAUUUUGUCCACUAUGAUCGUCACUCCUUUCCCCUUCGGGAGCAAAAUUAAGCGAAAUAGGACCUUUGUAAGAUGAUGAAGGCACUUAUGCUUCAUAUGUGCUCCGGAGCUGAUGAUGAUGAGCUUGCAGGAGGAAUCGUAGUACGAGCAACAGGAACAAGCGCCGAUGAAGGAACAGGAACAGCAGAAGGCGGAACACUCUUGACUCGACCUCUCUUCUCCGCUGGGGACUUUUCUGCAAUUAAUAGAAAUAAAAAUUUAAAGCUUAUGAUUACAACAAAUUUCCCUAUUCACAUUUUAAAAUAAUUAUUAACAUCUUACCCUUUUCAGCCAUCUUCCUCUUGUUAGCGGCGGCAGCAGCCUUGACUGUCUUCUCUUCAGGACCAGUGUAGAACAGGCUUAACGGGUUUCGACGAGCGGCAUCUAGCUCCUUCUUGGAAGCAGCGUCAACCUUCUUCGCAUCAGCUGCAUUCUCCCUUGCUUCCCGUCGUCGUUUCUGUUCCGUAUAUAUAUCAAC